ensembl:snRNA U2 U2 spliceosomal RNA
AUAAUUUAGAAAAAUAUGUGCUAAGAUCAAGUGUAGUACCUGUUCUUAUCAAUUUAACAUCUGAUAAAUCCUCUAAAUGAGGACUACAUAUUAAACUGAUUUUCAGAACAGGGAGAUGGAAGAGGGGCUUGCUCCGUCCAUGCCUCGCAUCGACCUGGUAUUGUAGUACCUCCGGGAACGGCGUACCACCU